CAAGGCUAUUUAGCGAUUCAUGGCUCCGCCUCGGUGAAAUGAGGAACAAGUGUUUGUUUACAAGCGGUGCCAUUGGCGAAAGCCGGUGACGCGUCCGACCGAGGUGGCGAGCUCGCCGCCAUUCCGCGACCACCUUUUGAUGUCGCCACCGCUGUUGCUGCCAGCGCGAAAAGAUCUUUCUAUUUACUUUAGCCCUUUGAAACUUCCCGUGGAAACGGCUCGAGAGCUUCCUGAUGGCGGAUUGUGUUUAUCUUACCCGAACACCCGAGGCCUCCCGAAAUAAAGACGAGCUGCCAGUCUAAGGAAAUGCGCCGCGCGGGACAGGGUGCCGAGGAAGACGUGUGGGGGGGGGGGGGGGGGUAGUGGAAUGAUAAGAGCCCACGGCUUCCUGUUUCGCUCAAGUUUACAGUGGAAUUACAUCGACCUCAUACCCCACACACUGUGAUCCUCACCCUUCAUAAAACACAUAUUUUAUAUUGAAUAUGGAGUUCAACUCAAUGCCUCUGGGAUAAAAUCGCGCCUCUUGAUGACGUCCAAUUCUCCAUAAAUCUGCCUAGCAACAGGUGUUUAUGGUGCUUACCCGUGACGAAGAAAUUGAUGUCCAGGUGGUCCAGUCCCACGGAGUUGGAUGCCACGCAACGGAACACACCUGACACCACAGCCCGGGCCACUGUGACCACACCGACCGUCUAACAGACAACAACAACACACGCACACAAUUCAUUAAACGACGACAUUAACAUGUGUGAUCAUUCCGGCGUGUCAUUUUUCCACCUUGGUCUUCCCCUGAAGCACUUCCUGGUUGCGGGUCAUACUUUGGAUGUGGUUGUGUGUGGGCGUGGCGGGGAGCCCCUCGUUCAAGGGGGUCCAGCCAGAAGAGGAUGUCGGAGGAGCGCACCUUCAAUGAGGAAGAAGAACAGGAGGAGGACGCUCAGCUGUGAUGACGUCAUUCAGCAGCUGUACAUACGGAGCGAUAAAAACACGCAGGAAAACCAGCCCACGUGGACCGAUCGGACUUUCCUGAUCUACCGUACUUCUCUAUUGAUCAAUCGAUCCAUCCAUCUAUCCGUCUCUGUCCAUCCACCCAUCUGCUAUCGCUAUCUAUCCAUCCAUCAACUGCAUCUCUCUAUCUCGCGCUCUCUGUGUAUCAAUCUCAUCUUCCCGUCCCUUAGGUGUGUUCCAGUCUUUUCUUCUGAUUGCGCUUCCUCUCGAAGUGUACAUUGUGUGCGUCCCUCCCUGUGCGUGACACACACACACGCACGCACACACACGCAUCUCCCAGUACUGUACUCUCAGAAUAAAAGUGAGAUGUGGCAAGAAAGGUUUGUUAGUCACACAGAGAGACGAGUGGACGAACAACAAUCACACCACAGCCACCCAGUGUGCGCGCGCGUGUGUUUAUGUGUGUGUGUGUGUGCGUGUGUGUGUGCGCUCUGACUGACUACACUUAACAGUUCCCUGUCUGCAGCCCGAAAUAACGCCAGACAUUUGAAACAACAACAACACGGAAAUACAAGCCAAGUUUAAUGCAAAAAAAACCACAUCAACAACUGAUACAAACAAUUGCAAAAAAAAACAAGAUGCAUUAACAGAGUCAUACAAAUCUUGUCAUUUUUAGGGGAGUCAUACGGAAGUUAGUCGUAUAAAAUUAUUAAAUAUUAGCUUCAUAUAUUACUCGUAGAACAUCUUGAUACAAAGGUGGGAGUGGGGGGGAUCACACCCGCGGAAUGGGACAGACACGCACGUAUACAAAACGCUCACCACGUACACACGCGCUUACACGUCAAGUGGAUGACAGACAAUUAGGGCCACGUGGAUGGGAACAAAAGUACUAAAAAAAAAAAAGAAAGAUAGUGGCGCUAUUACAAAUGCAAAUGUUUAAAAAAUAUAUUCUUCAUAUGAUAUUUUAGUUAUAUUACAUUCCAUUCCAUACAUACGCAUGCCCGUACAUAUAUGUACGGAUAUACAUCCAUAUAUACCUCCGUGUGUACAUAUAUACAUAUUGUGUACAUACAAUAUAUAGAUACAUAUCUUUGUAUGUGUAGAUAUAUAUAGGUACAUAGAUAUGUACAUAUAUACAUGCACACUGUACAUACAUAUAUAUGGACAUUAUACAGCAUAUUUUAUUUUCUCUUAUUUCAUGGUCAUAAGGGGGGGGGGGGGGAAUAAAAAAAUCUGUGUGGCCCUGAUUGUCCGACAUGCAAAUGGCUCAUUGCCGUUUCCAACACACAGACGACUGGGGCAGUUAGAAAAGCUACAUCAUUGACACUCGGCAGACUUCCUACAUGGUAGGUGUCAGUUUUUUUUUUGUUUUUUUUCAUCAGAGAACUAUAAAACCUUGUGUCCACGUUUUUCUUCGCUUGGUUGGAUUUCUUGCUGGAGGAUUAAAAAAAAAAACAGUAAAAA